UGGGGAAUUUUGGACAAUGGGCGAAAGCCUGAUCCAGCAAUGCCGCGUGUGUGAAGAAGGCCUUCGGGUUGUAAAGCACUUUUGUCCGGAAAGAAAUCCUUGGCUCUAAUACAGUCGGGGGAUGACGGUACCGGAAGAAUAAGCACCGGCUAACUACGUGCCAGCAGCCGCGGUAAUACGUAGGGUGCAAGCGUUAAUCGGAAUUACUGGGCGUAAAGCGUGCGCAGGCGGUUUGCUAAGACCGAUGUGAAAUCCCCGGGCUCAACCUGGGAACUGCAUUGGUGACUGGCGGGCUAGAGUAUGGCAGAGGGGGGUAGAAUUCCACGUGUAGCAGUGAAAUGCGUAGAGAUGUGGAGGAAUACCGAUGGCGAAGGCAGCCCCCUGGGCCAAUACUGACGCUCAUGCACGAAAGCGUGGGGAGCAAACAGGAUUAGAUACCCUGGUAGUCCACGCCCUAAACGAUGUCAACUAGUUGUUGGGGAUUCAUUUCCUUAGUAACGUAGCUAACGCGUGAAGUUGACCGCCUGGGGAGUACGGUCGC
rnacentral:rRNA from 1 species